rnacentral:lncRNA from 1 species
UUUAUCUUCUUAAUCUCUUACAUCCAAUAGUCUAACUUCUUAGUGUUAAUCGAAGGAUAAUACUAUGGUCCGUAUAAGAACCGACCCUUGAAACAUGGUGAAAUGUCCACCCAUACUACACAAAUAGUAAGAGAAGUAAUAGGGUCUCCACCCUUCCAUAACUGACCUUGUGGGUUUUCUCGCUAAAGUUCACCCUUGUAUACGACAUAAAAUUCUUGCACCAAUAUAUCGCUGUAUUUCUUGGGCUCUCUCAUCAUCCAUUAAAACCCAUACUUCCUGAAUCAUUCCUUCAAUCAAGGUAUCUCUGACAUCUUGGUAGUCAUUAACAUCAACUUAAGAUAUAACACCCAUUUGAUGUUUCCAUGCUAAAGUCUUCUCAACCAAAUAUUAAACAUCUCUUGUAUACUGAGGUACCCCCAUCGUUUAAAGAUAGGCACCGAGAAAUGGUAAGUGCUAGUAGGGGAUGUUAUCUUUCGAUUGGAGUGGCAUCAACCUCUUUUGUACGAUUGGAAUUUCUUAAACUAUCUUUCUUGGAGCUUGCUUAAACAUCAUUAUAAGCAUCAGAGGGUGGUGGUGUAUGCAGAAGUGAGACAUCAAUUUUUUUUUUCCUUGGGCCCCAUGGAGGUAGUGAUUCCUUUGGGAGUAAAACCGUUUUCCCCUUUCUAUUUUUAGCUACUUUUCCUUUUUGGGUAGUUUUACCCAUUGUUGUUCCAUUCUAUAAAUCACCACUACUGGUGGUUAACAAUGAAUAUUCUGAGCUAGUAUUCUCAGGCUUAGUAGAUUGUGCCUUCUUGUGGCUCUUUUUGUCUUCUUUAUUAGUUGAGGCUGCAUUCUUAAGAGGCAUUGUUCUUUGAAGAAAACCAUCAUUAGAAUGAAAUUAAAGAAAUAAAUGGAUAAAUUUUAAUUCAAAGAUCAGUGUGCAUGAUUUUGUGAGGGUAUGAAUGA